rnacentral:rRNA from 1 species
AACGAACGCUGGCGGCGUGGAUAAGACAUGCAAGUCGAACGAGACUUUUCGUUGUAGCAAUACGAUGGAAAGUUUAGUGGCGAACGGGUGCUUAACACGUGGGCAACCUGCCAUGAAGUGGGGGAUAGCUCGCCGAAAGGCGAAUUAAUACCGCAUGUGAUUAGAGAGGACAUCCUUUCGAAAUUAAAGUCGGGGCAACCUGACGCUUCUUGUGGGGCCCGCGGCCUAUCAGCUAGUUGGUGAGGUAACGGCUCACCAAGGCUUUGACGGGUAGCUGGUCUGAGAGGACGACCAGCCACACUGGGACUGAGACACGGCCCAGACACCUACGGGUGGCAGCAGUCGAGAAUUUUUGACAAUGGGGGAAACCCUGAUCGAGCGACGCCGCGUGGAGGAUGAAUGUCUUCGGAUUGUAAACUCCUGUCAUUGGGGAACAAUGCACAGAUAUUAACUGUAUUUGUGUUGAUAGUACCCGAAGAGGAAGAGACGGCUAACUCUGUGC